rnacentral:rRNA from 1 species
GACGAACCGUGCGAACGUUGUUCGGAUUCACUGGGCUUAAAGGGCGCGUAGGCGGGUUGUCAAGUCAGGGGUGAAAUCCUCCAGCUCAACUGGAGAAGUGCCUUUGAUACUGAUGAUCUCGAGGGAGGUAGGGGCAUGUGGAACUUCCGGUGGAGCGGUGAAAUGACGUAGAUAUCGGAAGGAACGCCGGUGGCGAAAGCGACGUGCUGGACCUCUUCUGACGCUGAGGCGCGAAAGCUAGGGGAGCGAACGGG